ensembl:snRNA U6 U6 spliceosomal RNA
GUGCUUGCUACAGUAGCACAGGUACUAAAAUUGGAACCAUAGAGAGAAGAUGAGCAUGGCCCUUGCGCAAGGAUGAUGUGCAAAUUCAUGAAGCAUUCCAUAUUAAA